rnacentral:tRNA from 1 species
GCCUAGUUAGCUAAAAGUUCAAAGUGUCUGCCUUUUAAGUACUAGGUUGUGGGUCCGAUUCCCGCCUGGUGCG